UUUCUUUAUACAACUUUGAAAAGUCCUUAUGAAAUUCUCUCUUAUAAAGAAGCUCGUCAGGAAUUUGCUCUACGCAUUUUAUAAAAAAGUAUGAUGAAACACAAGAUUCUCUGUAUUUCUGUAAUAGUAAUGGAAGGUUUCGUAACAUUGCUUGCUGUUGGUUUACGACCUCAUCUUCAAGUCUUUUACCUGGCUUCUUCGACUAGAGGUUUAGUAAUAUGAAGCUUUAAAUAACUUACUCUUUUGCUAAUAUGUGUUGCAAAAUAAUGGAGAUAGAUAGAAGAAAAUUCUAUCACUGCGUUGCUCGGUAUACAGGGGUUUAAGACACUGUUAGUAUCUUUUGCAUCAAAGCGAUCAUAAAGCAAGAGCUUUGCAACAUCCUCCCAACUGGCAAGUAAUUGUGAGUUUGUAUGAAUGGAAUGCAUGCUUUCCUCAAUUAAUUGCUGCCUAUGAUUAUUCAUAUCAUAUUCUCGUAUGAAAUCCGCAUCAUAAAAGUUAUUCUCCUGCGACUGAUAUACAAAUUUGUCAUCGUCUUUCACACGCGAAAAGAUGUGAUCGCUGCUAUCACGGAACCAAGAUUCAAAUCCUUGCUCAAGUAUGAAUAAUAACGCAUUCAUUUUGAAUAGGCUUUCAAAGCUGGAAACUAACAAUGGGAUUUUUUCACGCCUUAAGAGCUUUGAUAAGCUGAUUGUUGCAGUCUUUGCUUCACAAUAAUUUGCGUAGCGUUCAUUAGUAUGGGCAACGAGGAUUCGCAUUGUCGAGAUUCGAUUCUGGGGCUUCCCGUCAAAUAUGCAGCUAGAAACAAUAUUGAUACAUUUUCCAUUCAACGAUAUUUUCUCCAUCAGUUUCUCGCAUGUCUUGAGGGCAACAGAUCGAACAGAAUCAAUAUCGUACCGACAUAUCUCCACAAUUCUUAACGAGAAUCUGUCAAGAAAAUCAACCACAAAAUCUUGAUCUUUUUCAGGUUCAUGAGAAGAAAGAUAAUCUAUUAUUUUUAAGGAGAUUUUUCGGAUUUGUGAUUCCUAUACGUUCAGUUAGUAUUUAAAUGAUACAGCAGUAGCGAUUGUUUAUACACUUACUGCAUCAGAUAACCCCCAGCCAGAAUGUCUAAUCAAAUUUCUGUUUAUAAGAUAGGUGGGAAGCAAUUGGCAACAAUCAUAUAGAGCAGUAACACACACUAUACGAAU